GAGCCCGUCCCUUGCCCUAAACUUCGCGAUGCCUUCUCCUCCCGUGCCCAAACCGCCAUGCAACGGUUCCCUCUCCUCUUCCUCUCCUCUGGCCGACGCGACGCCGACCUCGAUCCGCCGGCCUCUCAGCCCUAGCGCCGACCCUCAUUCUCCUCUUCUGAGCGCCGGCAGCCGAGCACCUCUCCUUUGCAUAGUGUUCGUGCCCUAGCCACUUAACGCCGCCGGUCAUCUCUGCCCUAGCUGUGAUCCCGACACCGCGAUUGUCGUUCAUCCACGCAACCAGCCAAAGCGGAGCGUUGAAGACCACUGAUCUGUCACCGCCGAUCCUGCAUCGUCGUCGUUUCCCUCUGCUCUGAGGAGCCAUCUUUGCUCGGGCUGUGGUUGCUGCCGGCGGUCAGAUUGGAGAUAUUGCCGGCAGAGAUUUGGCUGCUGAUCCUUAGAGAGGAAGGGAUUUUUGGCACAGAAUUGGGAUAGCAAGUGUUGAAUUGGGCUACUGUUCCAGCAACACCUUCUACCGAACCUUUGGUUUAGGGUCAGUGGCUCAAUCUAGAUACGACCACAGUUCCGACAGAGGGUGCUCCAUCGACAAAUUAACGACGAAGUAUACGAAUUUGGGACUUUGUUUGGAGACAAAUGUCUGGAUACGGGAUUUAUUGCGAUACAGACUAUGUAUAAAGGCGGGUACCUCUUGACUUAUCUUUUAUGAUAUUGUCAUUUGGAUAUGCAUAGUAUUUAAUAACUACAAGCAAUGAACAUGUUUGCCUUUGGUAUGUCACUGUUUGAUAUCCAUA